AGCUUGUUCUCUGAAAGAAACUGAAGCUGAAAUGCUUGUUUGUCCUCUCCAGCUCAUCCAUCUAAACAGAAUGUGGCAAGAGGAGACAAGACCUCCCCCAGUAAAGACUCUUUUCUGCGAUGGGCCACUUAACUGCCCCAUAAGAUUGUGAUCUUCAAACACAAAGUCAUCAUUUCAUCUCAACACAUACGCCCUUUUAUCAACAACAACAUUUGGUUCCUGUGUAUACAAUGUAUAACUCUGAUCCAGCUGAUGCAGACAUAACCUUCUUCUGAAAUGUUCCAGAAUGCAUUACAUGUAAACAAGGGUGGGGUGAUGCGGUUGCUCCAUAUCACUGAAAAAAAAAAAAAGUUUUUGCUGACUAUAGAUUUUACUGUACAGAAGCCUGCAAAACAGAGCCACCUGGGAGUGUUUUGCCGACUAAUCCUGGUUCUGCCAUCCCUCACUGGGCCUGUGUCAUCUCUUUCCACUUUCUCCUCCUCUGUCUGCACUUUACAUAACAAUCCCCACCCAAGUCCAUGGGCCAGCACAAUGCCUGCAGCAGUGGUUUGAUGUCUUUUAAAAGCUUUGACUGGCCCCAGAGGCCUCCUGUGUGUCCUUUCCUAGGCUUUGUGGCCAGGAGAGAUGGACAGCUCAGUUGUGACCUAGAGCUCCUGGUCUGCAAGAGUGUGUUUGAAGGCAGGGGGUUGAUUGUUUUAGAUUGGAGUUGGCUGUGCUUGUACUGAUGGUGUGUGAUGCUCUGGGUGGGUGGCGAAACAUCAGGGAGAUUAUAUAUGAGGUGUAUAUGCUGCCGUUCAAAAGAUUGGGAUAAGUUCGAUUUUUAAUGUGUGGGUUUUUUAAAGAAGUUUC